GACAUCACUCAGAAAGGUUCAAUUCAAUGUGGCUGAUGCCGACAUCACACAGAAAGGUUCAAUUCAAUGUGGCUGAUGCCGACAUCACACAGAAAGGUUCAAUUCAAUGUGGCUGAUGCUGACAUCACACAGAAAGGUUCAAUUCAAUGUUGCUGCAGGACUUGGAAAUUAUAUCCUGUUUUAUCUCAGGUAAUGUUUGAUGCUUCCAAUCAUGGAUAUUUUGAAAAAAAGGAGAAAAUGAAGGAAGGACAUCAACACACAGAACAUCAGUUUUUAGAUGAGGGAGACUCAGUUACAAAAUAUAACUCCAGAAAUAAUUUGCUGUGAUAGAAUAUGGACUAGAAACACUAAUGGACUCGGGGACAAGCUGAGCAAGGGAAGAGACUUAAACAAAACAGACUCUAGAAUAUGUUGUGCAAAACAACAGACUUCAAAAACAAAAAUAAAUAAGACUCAUGAAUAUGAUUUGCUUGACAAGAAACUUUUAUUUAACAAAAAAACAAUAAAAUAUAAUCGUUGAUGAAAACUUUGUUGAGCACAAACUUUUUUAUUUAUUGGUUAUAAAAUUGAGGAGAGAGUCUCAGUCAAAUAUAAUUUUUAAAAUGUAAAAUGUGUGAAAGGCAAAGAGAGAGUCAGGUAGGUUUUUAUAAAGAUUAAAUUUGUUCAUUUUAAAGCUCACUGCUUAUCUUCAAUGUUUGAUUAAAAGUGUUUUUUUUUCUUCAAAAUUCAUUAUGUUAAAAUGUGAAAUAGUUAAUAUAUUCAUUUGUAAAGAUUUAUCCUGUUUCAACCUUAAAGCUCGUGGUAUUGUUUCCAUUUUUUACGAGCUGUUUGACUAUAGACGGUCACUGCUAGUAUUUAUGGUUUAAACAAGAUUAAUCUAAGAGGAAUUGCAGUGUAUGAAAGAGAGAAAGAGGGACCGGACUAUGUAAAGGUCUACUUCUUUUUCAGCAAAACAGCAGGUUCUUCUUUAUGACUUUUUUGUAUUGAAAUUUAAGAUUGGAUGAAUCUAGAAGGAGGGUAAAGUAUUUUGAAUAUGAUUAUAAGUACUUAAAAAAUAAUUUUCAAUAUUUUGAGU